rnacentral:rRNA from 1 species
GGAAUCUUCGGCAAUGGGGGCAACCCUGACCCGAGCAACGCCGCGUGAGUGAAGAAGGUUUUCGGAUCGUAAAGCUCUGUUGUAAGAGAAGAACGUGUGUGAGAGUGGAAAGUUCACACAGUGACGGUAACUUACCAGAAAGGGACGGCUAACUACGUGCCAG